UGAGGCAACGCUAGCCAAAAUAAGAACUUUUAAACUACACUACAAUCUUAUGGAAUUACUCCUAUAGAUGCAGCCGGAUCAAUUCACAUUUUUCUACAUGAUAACCGCCAGUUGUGCCAGCACCAUUUGUUCAAAAUGCUGUCUUUUUUCCACUGGAUGGUUUUAGCUCCCUUGUCGAAGAUCCAGUGACCAUAGGUGUGUGGGUUCAUCUCUGGGUCUUCAAUUCUGUUCCAUUGGUCUACUUGUCUGUCACUUGGGUACAGAAACCAAUUAUCUUUGACAGACACUCUCAACCUCGGAAUGUACCAGUCAUCACUGAUAGCAAAGACCAGUAAUUCUACAAAAGUAUUUGACAGUUUCUUAUUUUAAAACUAAGCUAAAUACAUACUGAUAUAACAUUGCCAUUGAACGCCUAGGCAUUUAUUUCAGAGAUUUAACAAAAAAAAGCAGCUGAUAUCUACACAAGUGCCUGUAAGCAAAUGUUCAAGACAACUCUGUGCCUAAGAGCUCUGAACCAGAAACCAGACUA
rnacentral:lncRNA from 1 species